UACGUAGGGUGCGAGCGUUAAUCGGAAUUACUGGGCGUAAAGCGUGCGCAGGCGGUCUGUUAAGACAGAUGUGAAAUCCCCGGGCUUAACCUGGGAACUGCAUUUGUGACUGGCAGGCUAGAGUAUGGCAGAGGGGGGUAGAAUUCCACGUGUAGCAGUGAAAUGCGUAGAGAUGUGGAGGAAUACCGAUGGCGAAGGCAGCCCCCUGGGCAAGAUUGACGCCUCAUGCACGAAAGCGUGGGGAGCA
rnacentral:rRNA from 1 species